rnacentral:rRNA from 1 species
AUGGCCUGGACGCUCGUCAACCUCGGCCACUUCUUGAUUACAUACCACUUCUUCCCCUGGAAGAAGGGAACUCGAUUCGCUGAUGAUCAGGGGAUGUAUAAUAGAUUGACUUGGUGGGAGCAAAUGGACAACGACAAGCAGCUUACUCGCAACAGAAAAUUUCUUGUUGUGGUUCCUGUAGUCCUGUAUGUGUUAUUCUGUUUCAAUUUUAUUAAUACUGCUUUUGGGAGCUUACUUGGCAAGGAACAACAUGGCAGGAUGUAUGCACAAAGAUUGAUUCUGGCUAGUCAGAAAUACUACACUUAUUCAUUAAUUAUGCAAAGAACACUUGUUAGUAACAUCUAG